rnacentral:rRNA from 1 species
AGAGUUUGAUCCUGGCUCAGGACGAACGCUGGCGGCGCGCCUAACACAUGCAAGUCGAACGAGCGAGAGAGAGCUUGCUUUCUCGAGCGAGUGGCGAACGGGUGAGUAACGCGUGAGGAACCUGCCUCAAAGAGGGGGACAACAGUUGGAAACGACUGCUAAUACCGCAUAAGCCCACGACCCGGCAUCGGGAAGAGGGAAAAGGAGCAAUCCGCUUUGAGAUGGCCUCGCGUCCGAUUAGCUAGUUGGUGAGGUAACGGCCCACCAAGGCGACGAUCGGUAGCCGGACUGAGAGGUUGAACGGCCACAUUGGGACUGAGACACGGCCCAGACUCCUACGGGAGGCAGCAGUGGGGAAUAUUGCACAAUGGGGGAAACCCUGAUGCAGCGACGCCGCGUGGAGGAAGAAGGUCUUCGGAUUGUAAACUCCUGUUGUUGAGGAAGAUAAUGACGGUACUCAACAAGGAAGUGACGGCUAACUACGUGCCAGCAGCCGCGGUAAAACGUAGGUCACAAGCGUUGUCCGGAAUUACUGGGUGUAAAGGGAGCGCAGGCGGGAAGACAAGUUGGAAGUGAAAUCCAUGGGCUCAACCCAUGAACUGCUUUCAAAACUGUUUUUCUUGAGUAGUGCAGAGGUAGGCGGAAUUCCCGGUGUAGCGGUGGAAUGCGUAGAUAUCGGGAGGAACACCAGUGGCGAAGGCGGCCUACUGGGCACCAACUGACGCUGAGGCUCGAAAGUGUGGGUAGCAAACAGGAUUAGAUACCCUGGUAGUCCACACCGUAAACGAUGAUUACUAGGUGUUGGAGGAUUGACCCCUUCAGUGCCGCAGUUAACACAAUAAGUAAUCCACCUGGGGAGUACGACCGCAAGGUUGAAACUCAAAGGAAU